UUAUACSUGCARGCCUCCACGCGCCAGUGAGAAUGCCCACAAACGCCCAAACAGCUUAUCGGAGCAGGUAUCAGGAUCACCCCAGUUUGCCUACUACACCUUGCUACGCCACACCCCCAAGGGCCCUCAGCAGUAAUCAAUACUAAACAUAAGCGAAAGCUAGAUUUGGUUACGGUUAAAACAGUCGGUAAAUUUCGUGCCAGCCACCGCGGUUAUACGAAAGACUCAAAAUAAUGGCCACCGGCGUAAAGCGUGAUCAGAGGCCGUCAAAAACCUUAAAGGAUAACCUACACACAGCCGUAAAACGCCCACAUGAAUAUGAAUAACAACACAGCCUUUAAACUAAAAGACCCUUAACUCACUAAAGCUAAGAAACAAACUGGGAUUAGAUACCCCACUAUGCUUAGCCCUAAACAGACAACAAAACACACAUUGUCCGCCAGAGAACUACAAGCGAAAAGCUCGAAACUCCAAGGACUUGGCGGUACUCCACAUCCCCCUAGAGGAGCCUGUCCUGUAAUCGAUACCCCACGUUUUACCCGACCAUCUUUUGCCAUAGCCUAUAUACCGCCGUCGCCAGUCCACCUUAUGAAAGAAAAACAGAGGGCAAAACAGUUAACAACUAACACGUCAGGUCAAGGUGUAGCAAAUAAGAUGGAAGAGAUGGGCUACAUUUUCUGAUACAGAACAUACGAACAACACAGUGAAAUACGUGUUCAAAGGUGGAUUUAGCAGUAAGACAAGCAAGCAAGCUUAUCUUAACCCCCCCCUGGAGUGCGCACACACCGCCCGUCACCCUCAUCAACUAUAAAACACACAAACAUAUAAUACCACAAACCAGCCAGAUGAGGCAAGUCGUAACAC
rnacentral:ncRNA from 1 species